rnacentral:lncRNA from 1 species
GAUUUUACGCAGUGCUGGAGGUGAAUUACGGGCGCAUGUAACCAAUUACACGCGAAAUUACGGGUGAAGACCCAGUGAUUACAGGUGGAUUUUACGCGGUGCUGGAGGUGAAUUACGGGCGCAUGUAACCAAUUACACGCAAACUUACGGGUGAAGACCCAGUGAUUACGGGUGGAUUUUACGCGGUGCUGGAGGUGAAUUACGGGCGCAUGUAACCAAUUACACGCAAAAUUACGGGUGAAGACCCAGUGAUUACGGGUGGAUUUUACACGGUGCUGCAGGUGAAUUACGGGUGCAUGUAACCAAUUACACGCAAAAUUACGGGUGAAGACCCAGUGAUUACGAGUGGAUUUUACGUGGUGCUGGAGGUGAAUUACGGGCGCAUGUAACCAAUUACACGCAAAAUUACGGGUGAAGACCCAGUGAUUACGGGUGGAUUUUACGCGGUGCUGGAGGUGAAUUACGGGCGCAUGUAACCAAUUACACACAAAAUUACGGGUGCAGACCCAGUGAUUACGGGUGGAUUUUACGCGGUGCUGGAGGUGAAUUACGGGCGCAUGUAACCAAUUACACGCAAAAUUACGGGUGAAGACCCAGUGAUUACGGGUUACACAGGCAGAUAUUACUCUGCGAUGUGAUGCUUACUGCAUGUUAAAUUAACGAUUGGUGAAUACUUGCGGCAAGCCUCAAA